UCAUUCUCGUAGUAGGCUGGCGCAUCGGCAACGUGGGGUAGAACCCUGCGCGAAUGCUGGUGCGCCGAAAACAGGUCCCAAACGGGGCCUUUUUUAUUGCC
rnacentral:sRNA from 1 species